UACGUAGGGGGCUAGCGUUGUCCGGCUUUAUUGGGCGUAAAGAGCGUGUAGGCUGCCCUGUAGGUCCGGUGUGAAAACUCGAGGCUUAACCUCGAGAUGUCAUCGGAAACCAUUUGGCUAGAGUCCGGAAGAGGAGAGUGGAAUUCCUGGUGUAGCGGUGAAAUGCGCAGAUAUCAGGAAGAACACCAAUGGCGAAAGCAGCUCUCUGGGACGGUACUGACGCUGAGACGCGAAAGCGUGGGGAGCGAACAGG
rnacentral:rRNA from 1 species